GCACUGGGGGUUGUAGGACUGCAAUGUGCAAGAGGUGAGUUUAGCAGAACAUUCUGGAAAGUAUAGCCAUAGAGGGUGAUAGUCCCGUAUGCGAAAAACAAACCUUAGCUAGCAGUAUCCUGAGUAGGGCGGGACACGAGAAAUCCUGUCUGAAGCUGGGUCGACCACGAUCCAACCCUAAAUACUAAUACCAGAUCGAUAGUGCACAAGUACCGUGAGGGAAAGGUGAAAAGAACUGAGGUGAUCAGAGUGAAAUAGAACCUGAAACCAUUUGCUUACAAUCAUUCAGAGCACUAUGUAGCAAUACAGUGUGAUGGACUGCCUUUUGCAUAAUGAGCCUGCGAGUUGUGGUGUCUGGCAAGGUUAAGCAAACGCGAAGCCGUAGCGAAAGCGAGUCUGAAUAGGGCGCUUAGUCAGAUGCUGCAGACCCGAAACGAAGUGAUCUAUCCAUGAGCAAGUUGAAGCUAGUGUAAGAACUAGUGGAGGACUGAACCCAUAGGCGUUGAAAAGCCCCGGGAUGACUUGUGGAUAGGGGUGAAAGGCCAAUCAAACUUCGUGAUAGCUGGUUCUCUCCGAAAUAUAUUUAGGUAUAGCGUUGUGUCGUAAUAUAAGGGGGUAGAGCACUGAAUGGGCUAGGGCAUACACCAAUGUACCAAACCCUAUCAAACUCCGAAUACCUUAUAUGUAAUCACAGCAGUCAGGCGGCGAGUGAUAAAAUCCGUCGUCAAGAGGGAAACAACCCAGACUACCAGCUAAGGUCCCUAAAUCUUACUUAAGUGGAAAACGAUGUGAAGUUACUUAAACAACCAGGAGGUUGGCUUAGAAGCAGCCAUCCUUUAAAGAAAGCGUAAUAGCUCACUGGUCUAGUGAUUUUGCGCGGAAAAUAUAACGGGGCUAAAGUAAGUACCGAAGCUGUAGACUUGCGCACAACUUAGAUUAUUUAAGUUUAGAAUAUGAGAAACUAAGUUAUAUGUUUAGUUAUAUUUUUACUGAUUUUUAUAGAGUAAAGAUAGAAAUAAAACUUAGUAAAAUCAGUAAAAAUAUUCUUAGACUAAAGUUAAGUAGUUUAAGUUGUGUGCAAGUGGUAGGAGAGCGUUCUAUUUGCGUCGAAGGUAUACCGGUAAGGAGUGCUGGAGCGAAUAGAAGUGAGCAUGCAGGCAUGAGUAGCGAUAAUUAAUGUGAGAAUCAUUAACGCCGUAAACCCAAGGUUUCCUACGCGAUGCUCGUCAUCGUAGGGUUAGUCGGGUCCUAAGUCGAGUCCGAAAGGGGUAGACGAUGGCAAAUUGGUUAAUAUUCCAAUACCAACAUUAGUGUGCGAUGGAAGGACGCUUAGGGCUAAGGGGGCUAGCGGAUGGAAGUGCUAGUCUAAGGUCGUAGGAGGUUAUACAGGCAAAUCCGUAUAACAAUACUCCGAGAACUGAAAGGCUUUUUGAAGUCUUCGGAUGGAUAGAAGAACCCCUGAUGCCGUCGAGCCAAGAAAAGUUUCUAAGUUUAGCUAAUGUUGCCCGUACCGUAAACCGACACAGGUGGGUGGGAUGAGUAUUCUAAGGCGCGUGGAAGAACUCUCUUUAAGGAACUCUGCAAAAUAGCACCGUAUCUUCGGUAUAAGGUGUGGUUCGCUUCGUAUUAGGAUUUACUCCGAAAGCGAAGAAACUUACAACAAAGAGUCCCUCCCGACUGUUUACCAAAAACACAGCACUCUGCUAACUCGUAAGAGGAUGUAUAGGGUGUGACGCCUGCCCGGUGCUCGAAGGUUAAUUGAUGGGGUUAGCAUUAGCGAAGCUCUUGAUCGAAGCCCGAGUAAACGGCGGCCGUAACUAUAACGGUCCUAAGGUAGCGAAAUUCCUUGUCGGUUAAAUACCGACCUGCAUGAAUGGCGUAACGAGAUGGGAGCUGUCUCAAAGAGGGAUCCAGUGAAAUUGUAGUGGAGGUGAAAAUUCC
rnacentral:rRNA from 1 species